GACGAGGGGUGCUAACGUUAUUCGGAAUCAUUGGGCGUAAAGGGUGUGUAGACGGUAUGUUAUGUCUGUUGUUAAAUACUCCGGCUUACCUGGAGAGGUGCGAUGGAAACUGAUAUACUAGAGGAUGGAAGAGAGGAGUGGAAUUCCCGGAGUAGCGGUAAAAUGCGUAGACCUCGGGAGGAACACCAAUGGCGAAGGCAGCUCCUUGGUCCAUAGCUGACGUUGAGACACGAAGGCGUGGGGGGCAAACAGG
rnacentral:rRNA from 1 species